rnacentral:rRNA from 1 species
GCGCGAAAACUCCACACUGCACGAAAGUGUGAUGGGGGGAUCCUCCGUGCUCAUGUCUAACAUGGGCUUUUGCCAAGACUAGAUACCUUGGCGAAUAAGGGGUGGGCAAGACUGGUGCCAGCCGCCGCGGUAACACCAGCGCCACGAGUGGCUAUCACGAUUAUUGGGCCUAAAGCGUCCGUAGUCAGUUCUGUACAUCUUCUGUGAAAUCGUUGCGCUUAACGUAACGGCACGCGGAAGACACGGCAGAGCUUGAGAGCGGGAGGCGUGAAGGGUACUCCGGGGGGACCGGUAAAAUGGUAUAAUCCCCGGAAGACCACCUGUGGCGAAGGCGCUUCACGAGAACGCAUCUGACGAUGAGGGACGAAAGCCAGGGGAGCAAACCGGAUUAGAUACCCAGGUAGUCCCUGAGCGGGCUGGCAAGGCGCAU